GACGAACGCUGGGCGGCGUGCCUAACACAUGCAAGUCGAGCGGGGUUGAAGCGAGGGGUAACUCAAGCUUCUACCUAGCGGCGGACGGGUGAGUAACGCGUGGGCAACCUGCCUCAAGGUCUGGGAUAACAGCUCGAAAGGGCUGCUAAUACCGGAUAUGCCUAUGGCCUCGCAUGGGGCUAUGAGCAAAGGGGAAACCCGCCUUGAGAUGGGCCCGCGUCCCAUCAGCUAGUUGGUGAGGUAACAGCUCACCAAGGCGACGACGGGUAGCCGGCCUGAGAGGGUGACCGGCCACACUGGGACUGAGACACGGCCCAGACUCCUACGGGGGGCAGCAGUGGGGGAUCUUGCACAAUGGGCGAAAGCCUGAUGCAGCGACGCCGCGUGAGCGAAGAAGGCCUUCGGGUUGUAAAGCUCUGUCUGGAGGGACGAACAAAAUGACGGUACCUCCGGAGGAAGCCACGGCUAACUACGUG
rnacentral:rRNA from 1 species